GAUGAACGCUGGCGGCGUGCCUAAUACAUGCAAGUCGAGCGAACAGACGAGGAGCUUGCUCCUCUGACGUUAGCGGCGGACGGGUGAGUAACACGUGGAUAACCUACCUAUAAGACUGGGAUAACUUCGGGAAACCGGAGCUAAUACCGGAUAAUAUAUUGAACCGCAUGGUUCAAUAGUGAAAGACGGUUUUGCUGUCACUUAUAGAUGGAUCCGCGCCGCAUUAGCUAGUUGGUAAGGUAAGGGCUUACCAAGGCGACGAUGCGUAGCCGACCUGAGAGGGUGAUCGGCCACACUGGAACUGAGACACGGUCCAGACUCCUACGGGAGGCAGCAGUAGGGAAUCUUCCGCAAUGGGCGAAAGCCUGACGGAGCAACGCCGCGUGAGUGAUGAAGGUCUUCGGAUCGUAAAACUCUGUUAUUAGGGAAGAACAAAUGUGUAAGUAACUAUGCACGUCUUGACGGUACCUAAUCAGAAAGCCACGGCUAACUACGUG
rnacentral:rRNA from 1 species